GAUGGUAUCUUUUUUUUUUUCUUUUGGUCAAAAGACCUUUGUUAACAAAGGCUCAGAAAUUGCAUCCUUAAGCGCCUGUGGGCUGCUUCAGAAGAAAGGUCUGGGUUUUGGAAGCCUCUUGUUGAGGUAGCCUCUCAAAUGGGCUCCCCGCCUCCCACUUGGAGAUAGAAAGAGUGGCGUUGUGACCUUCAGGAAUACCUUGGAGAUAAUGAGCCCUGGCCACCUUUCCAGCUCCAUCCGACACUGUGUGGUACCCCAGCUUCCUCCGGUGCACAAACAGGCCCCGGCGGAGGCCCAAGAGGGAGCCGGCAGGACCUUCCUCCCGCUGGAGCCAUUUACUGCUUGGACAGUGAGAGAGCAAAUGGAAAAUUCCAGGUGGCUGUCUCCAUCACAAGUCUAUUGGAAGUGGACUGAAUCAUCUUAUGGUUGAAAAAAG